UACGUAGGGUGCAAGCGUUUGUCCGGAAUUAUUGGGCGUAAAGAGCUCGUAGGCGGUCUGUCGCGUCUGCUGUGAAAACUCAGGGCUUAACCCUGAGCUUGCAGUGGGUACGGGCAGACUAGAGUGCGGUAGGGGAGACUGGAAUUCCUGGUGUAGCGGUGAAAUGCGCAGAUAUCAGGAGGAACACCGGUGGCGAAGGCGGGUCUCUGGGCCGUAACUGACGCUGGAGGAGCGGAAAGCAUGGGGAGCGAACAGG
rnacentral:rRNA from 1 species